rnacentral:rRNA from 1 species
UACGUAGGGUGCAAGCGUUAAUCGGAAUUACUGGGCGUAAAGCGUGCGCAGGCGGCUAUGCAAGACAGAUGUGAAAUCCCCGGGCUCAACCUGGGAAUGGCCGUUGAAACUGGCGAACUGGAGUGUGGCAGAGGGGGGUGGAAUUCCGCGUGUAGCAGUGAAAUGCGUAGAGAUGCGGAGGAACACCGAUGGCGAAGGCAGCCCCCUGGGCUGACACUGACGCUCAGGCACGAAAGCGUGGGGAGCAAACAGG